rnacentral:misc_RNA from 1 species
GCGAGGAGACUACCUUGCACACUUGGCGCAGGACGUGCACGCGCCGCAAAAAAAAAGUCAUCAUAACGCUUCGGCAGCGCUCAUAUGGGCAUGCAAGCAUCGACAUCCUCGGCGCUGCGCAGACGCAGACACUUCCCUCAUGCGUGCAGGGGUCGCGUUCGCCUCUCAUCGCAGUUUGCCUGCGGCUGUUCUCGAUGAAAAGUCAACGACAAAGUUGACGGGCUUGCCGAGCCGGCAACGCCAGAGGAGCCGGCGCCAGCUGCAGGGAGAACGGACCCUGGCCAGAGCUCGCAGACGCGAGGCCGACAUCCCGCGAAACCGUGCGACACGCUGAGACGAGAGCUCCUUGGCGGCCGCCGUCCAGCACUGCGGAGGAACAGCGGCCUUGAGCGUGUGAGAUGAGCGGAGACCAUCCUCGCCCAGCUCGGCACGGGCGCCUGCGCGUACUUUGGCUUCGCGCAGCGGCGGGUGACUCGCAGCGGCAGCGUGGCGUGAAGACGGUGUGCUGCCUGUCACUGCGCUCGCGUUGUGGCGUGCCCCUCCCCCGCCCCCGCCUGUGCUUGCUGUGAGGGGGACCGGCCUGGCGUUGUGCCCGGCAUGCGAGGCGAGGUUGGCGGAUGGGUCGAGGCUGAGAGCGCGCCUCGUCUCACUCGCGGCGCGUGCGCCUGCCCCGCCGAGUGUCCAGCGCUGCCUCCCUGUACGACCCCUCAGGGGAGGGCGUGCCAGGGGCUGUCUCUGCGCAGGCGCCGCCGACCACAGCUUGCAUGGUGCAUCGCAUCGAAGCACGGCAUGCAGAGGGGAGGGGCGCACGCGUGAUAGACGCAAGAGACGCGAGGGGGUGCAUAUGAACCAGCCCCCAAGAGUGCGUGCGUGCGACAUGCGCGGGAAGCCCGACGAGAGCGCCCCGAACUGCACCGUCGGGUCCUGCAGACUCCGACGUGGAGAGUCGCCGCAGGGUACUGUUUGUCUGCCGUGGCUGGAAGCCGCGGAGGGAGAAGCACAGCACACAGGCAGCGUGUGCAGGCCCUCAGAGGGCCGUGGCCUGCAGCUGACGAGCUUCCUUCUCGGGCCCGUCCGGCACGCGGCUAGACCACCGCCUGUUUGGCCACACGAUAUAGACGCCGCUGCUUCCGCCGCGGAGCAGGGGGCUGGACGCGGCUGGCUUGGAUCCAAGGCAUGCGCCCCCCCCCCCUGAGGUCCGUGUGGCGCCGACCGCGCGGCAGGUAUGCAAGGAGGGGGCGAGGAGGGACGGGCAGAGUCUGUUAGACGCGUGACCCAGUUCGACGACAGGCCGGCUCGCCCUUGACGACCCGGAUGGGGCCGCGGUGCGACAGAGGUGUGGUGAGCUGUGGUUGUGCGCGCGUACGCUUGCGGACUUGUUGUUGGGAGUGACGUGUUUCGAAGAAGCCUCUUUGUGCCUGUUUGGCUCUUGUUCGCGCACGCCUGCGCAGAGGUGCUUUCGGCGGUUUUGUCUGGGGGACACGCCCCCGCCGCAGCCUUGGUUUUUUCCUCUCUCGUUUCGGCUGUCUUGUUCAAACUUAUGUUUUGCCGGUACUCGUGGGUUUUGAGAGUGGCUGCGUGUGUGGUGGGUGCGCCGUGGUGUGCACGGAGGUCAGAAAGGGUCUCUCCGUGUCUUUCUGGGACGUUUAUUAUAGGCGGUAGUACAGGUUCGAUGAUAUGCGCUUUUCUGAGGGCAAGGCACAUCGCAUACGGCAUGGAAAGCGCCUGCCGUGGCAGCGCUUAUUUCACCUUCGAACCAGCGUUCUACCCAUGGACGUGUUCAACGGCGAAAAGCGGAGGCGUAGAGAGAUGCUUGAUAGAAGAGUGAGUGGUGAGCGUGCGCAGGUCGAUCGGAGAAUGUGGGUUCGCAUUCAGCGGGGUGUGGCGGAGGCUGAUGGGCCGGGGUCUACGCAU